CGGACGGGUGAGUAAUGUCUGGGAAACUGCCUGAUGGAGGGGGAUAACUACUGGAAACGGUAGCUAAUACCGCAUAACGUCGCAAGACCAAAGAGGGGGACCUUCGGGCCUCUUGCCAUCGGAUGUGCCCAGAUGGGAUUAGCUAGUAGGUGGGGUAACGGCUCACCUAGGUGACGAUCCCUAGCUGGUCUGAGAGGAUGACCAGCCACACUGGAACUGAGACACGGUCCAG
rnacentral:rRNA from 1 species